GGACUACGGGGGUAUCUAAUCCUGUUUGCUCCCCACGCUUUCGUGCCUCAGUGUCAGUGUUGGUCCAGGUAGCUGCCUUCGCCAUGGAUGUUCCUCCUGAUCUCUACGCAUUUCACUGCUACACCAGGAAUUCCGCUACCCUCUACCACACUCUAGUCGCCCAGUAUCCACUGCAGUUCCCAGGUUGAGCCCAGGGCUUUCACAACGGACUUAAACGACCACCUACGCACGCUUUACGCCCAGUAAUUCCGAGUAACGCUUGCACCCUUCGUAUUACCGCGGCUGCUGGCACGAAGUUAGCCGGUGCUUAUUCUUUGGGUACCGUCAUCCCAACCGGGUAUUAACCAGCUGGAUUUCUUUCCCAACAAAAGGGCUUUACAACCCGAAGGCCUUCUUCACC
rnacentral:misc_RNA from 1 species